AUUGCAGACUUACCGAAGCAGCUCUGGAAUGUCAUGAAUGUUUGAUUUUGGCUGAUGAUGAUACAUGAAGCUGCACUCCCAGUCAACAUUUGAGGUCAUCAUUGAUUCCAUGAUUCUCCAGCUGGCAUAAAGUUAUGGUGCACAACAAAUGAGAACAGUGAGAAGGCAUCAUGGAGAAGCGAAAGCGUCUCUGAUCUCUUCUCGCCAUGUAGCCCAUCCAUCUUUAUCACUGGAAUUUCCAUUUCCUGAAACACUGAGUAUGGGUGUCUAGCAAAACGCACUAACCUUCUCAAGUUGAUAUGCUACAGCUACAGCAAACUAGGUAUUUAUAAUGGCCGCGAUAGGAAUGCUGGGAAAUAUAUUUUUCUGGGUUUCAGAACAUGAUGUGGUUUCAAAAUGAAAGAAAGCUUGCUUUCUCAUGAUGCACAUGUAAAAUCAUGUCCAGGUACAUUUCAUUAUUGCCAUGUGAUGUAGCCAAUAUAACUGUAUAACUUGUCUAGUAUCCUUCAGAACUAAUCAUCGGGGUGGUUGACUUA